UACGUAGGGUGCGAGCGUUGUCCGGAAUUAUUGGGCGUAAAGAGCUCGUAGGCGGUGUGUCACGUCGGCCGUGAAAACCUGCAGCUUAACUGUGGGCGUGCGGUCGAUACGGGCAUCACUGGAGUUCGGCAGGGGAGACUGGAAUUCCUGGUGUAGCGGUGAAAUGCGCAGAUAUCAGGAGGAACACCGGUGGCGAAGGCGGGUCUCUGGGCCGAUACUGACGCUGAGGAGCGAAAGCGGUGGGGAGCAAACGGG
rnacentral:rRNA from 1 species